rnacentral:rRNA from 1 species
CCUACGGGGAGGCAGCAGUGGGGAAUUUUGGACAAUGGGCGAAAGCCUGAUCCAGCAAUGCCGCGUGCAGGAUGAAGGCCUUCGGGUUGUAAACUGCUUUUGUACGGAACGAAAAGCUUCGGGUUAAUACCCUGGAGUCAUGACGGUACCGUAAGAAUAAGCACCGGCUAACUACGUGCCAGCAGCCGCGGUAAUACGUAGGGUGCAAGCGUUAAUCGGAAUUACUGGGCGUAAAGCGUGCGCAGGCGGUCUUGUAAGACAGAGGUGAAAUCCCCGGGCUCAACCUGGGAACUGCCUUUGUGACUGCAAGGCUGGAGUGCGGCAGAGGGGGAUGGAAUUCCGCGUGUAGCAGUGAAAUGCGUAGAUAUGCGGAGGAACACCGAUGGCGAAGGCAAUCCCCUGGGCCUGCACUGACGCUCAUGCACGAAAGCGUGGGGAGCAAACAGGAUUAGAUACCCUGGUAGUCCACGCCCUAAACGAUGUCAACUGGUUGUAGGGUCUUAACUGACUCAGUAACGAAGCUGACGCGAGAAGU